rnacentral:rRNA from 1 species
AAUCAGGUGGGACUACCCGCUGAACUUAAGCAUAUCAAUAAGCGGAGGAAAAGAAACUAACAAGGAUUCCCCUAGUAACGGCGAGUGAAGCGGGAUGAGCUCAAAUUUAAAAUCUGAUAGUCUUUGGCUGUCCGAGUUGUAAUCUAGAGAAGUGUUUUCCGCGUUGGACCAUGUACAAGUUUCCUGGAACGGAACGUCAUAGAGGGUGAGAAUCCCGUCCUUGACAUGGACUCCCAGUGCUUUGUGAUACACUCUCAACGAGUCGAGUUGUUUGGGAUUGCAGCUCAAAAUGGGAGGUAAAUUCCUUCUAARGCUAAAUAUKGGCGAGAGACCGAUAGCGAACAAGUACCGUGAGGGAAAGAUGAAAAGCACUUUGGAAAGAGAGUUAAACAGUACGUGAAAUUGUUAAAAGGGAAACGAUUGAAGUCAGUCGCGUUUACUUGGACUCAGCCUUACCUCGGUUUGGUGCAUUUCCUUGUGAACGGGCCAGCGUCAAUGUUGUCCGUUGGAAAAGGGUUGGAGAAAUGUGGCUCUUUCGGGAGUGUUAUAGUCUCUGAUCGUAUACAACGGCUGAUAUUGAGUGGUACAGCAUGCUUCGGCGGUGCUUGUGCUGGCAUAAU